rnacentral:rRNA from 1 species
AUUGAACGCUGGCGGCAGGCUUAACACAUGCAAGUCGAGCGGAGAGAGGUAGCUUGCUACUGAUCUUAGCGGCGGACGGGUGAGUAAUGCUUAGAAAUCUGCCUAUUAGUGGGGGACAACAUCUCGAAAGGGAUGCUAAUACCGCAUACGUCCUACGGGAGAAAGCAGGGGAUCACUUGUGACCUUGCGCUAAUAGAUGAGCCUAAGUCGGAUUAGCUAGUUGGUGGGGUAAAGGCCUACCAAGGCGACGAUCUGUAGCGGGUCUGAGAGGAUGAUCCGCCACACUGGGACUGAGACACGGCCCAGACUCCUACGGGAGGCAGCAGUGGGGAAUAUUGGACAAUGGGGGGAACCCUGAUCCAGCCAUGCCGCGUGUGUGAAGAAGGCCUUAUGGUUGUAAAGCACUUUAAGCGAGGAGGAGGCUCUUUUGGUUAAUACCAAGAUGAGUGGACGUUACUCGCAGAAUAAGCACCGGCUAACUCUGUGCCAGCCGCCGCCGUAA